AUUGAACGCUGGCGGCAUGCUUUACACAUGCAAGUCGAACGGCAGCACGGGGGCAACCCUGGUGGCGAGUGGCGAACGGGUGAGUAAUGCAUCGGAACGUGCCCCGUCGUGGGGGAUAACACAUCGAAAGAUGUGCUAAUACCGCAUACGACCUGAGGGUGAAAGCGGGGGACCGCAAGGCCCCGCGCGAUGGGAGCGGCCGAUGUCUGAUUAGCUAGUUGGUGGGGUAAAGGCCUACCAAGGCGACGAUCAGUAGCUGGUCUGAGAGGACGACCAGCCACACUGGGACUGAGACACGGCCCAGACUCCUACGGGAGGCAGCAGUGGGGAAUUUUGGACAAUGGGGGCAACCCUGAUCCAGCCAUGCCGCGUGCGGGAAGAAGGCCUUCGGGUUGUAAACCGCUUUUGGCAGGAACGAAACGGUGCGGGCGAAUACCCUGUGCUAAUGACGGUACCUGCAGAAUAAGCACCAGCUAACUACGUGCCAGCAGCCGCCGUAAAAC
rnacentral:rRNA from 1 species